CCUUGGUCUGCUAUUGGCCGUGGAAUCCGUCUGUCAAAGGUUUCCAUGGUAACGUUGCAAGUACGCUUGUUAGAAGAGGUACGUGGCGUUCACUAGUCCACCGUUUGAACAGCUGAGUGUCAUUCACGCUUCUUUUGGCAAAACGACACAACGACUGUUAUGACUCAACUGUUAUCUUGCUUGUGCUUGUAAGGUCUGUUUUCCCAUCAUGCAUUUGCUGUUCUGUUUGGUGUUCCUUUAAAGUACACCACUUCUGCUUUCCCAAGCAAUACCUCAAACAAGUCAAACUCAAUAUACAAGAGCCACAGUGGAUGCUGCUGCUUCAGUUUGUGCCAACCCAUGAUUGACUAUUUGAGAAACUGAAGCCGCCAGUGUGCCAAUAUGGUGCUGACAUCUUGUGUCUCGAGUCUGCGCAUAGUGAACUUGGAGCCCGAAUCUGCACAGUAGUGAGCGCGAAGUGGAGCCGCGAUAUCAAGGUCCCGCCCACACUCCUGCAGAAUUGAAUUUGACCACCCGUUUUAAGAACGCGAAUGGAGACAUCAGAUGCAGCACG